AUGAAUUCAAAUGCCUUUAUCGCCGUUCGUGAACCCAAAUGCCUAAUCUUCAAUUUGGAACCCAUACUGCCACCGUUUGAUUUCCAAGCCACCGCUAUCCGUUUUCCAAGCUAUCGCCAUUCAUUGCUUGGUUCUGAGGCUUUAGGAUUUUGGAUUGGCUGGAGGCUUUGACGUUUUCAAAAUGGAUUAGGAGAUUGUUGAGGUUUUAAGAUUGCUUGAGUUGAUGUAUUUUUUGUAUGAACGCAAUGAUUAAAUCCCCAAUAAUCUGAAGGAUUAAUGAUGUUCAUUAACCUGAGGCAUAUUUUUUCAAUGUUUCUAUACUGCCAUGUUUUAUGGAUUUGAAGUUUUCAGAUUGCAUAAUUUUUGUAUAUAUUUUUAAUAUUGAUAUUAAAAUGAGAGUUGUAAUGUUAUUGCUCUAUUUUGUAUUAUUAUGUUUAUACUGUUCUAUUUUUUCUACUAACAUGUUGUUACCAAAAUAUAUAUGUAUAUUUAUGCUAUAUAUAUAUAUACAUUACAUAUUUUGUGUUGGAUGUUGAAUGUAGGUUUAUUUCAAUAUUGAGGUUGUUUGGUUUCAAUAUUGCUUUUAUUUUGAUCAUUUCAAUAUAAUUUGUCUUCUAAGUUAAAUAUUUUGAUAGUAAUGAUAAGAUUAUUUUGGUUGGUUGAUUCAUGUCUGUGGUUAAUUAUUCCGAGUCUUGAUAACAAACUGUGCUGCCAGCUCACCCUUAUUGACUUCAGAUUAUGUUCACUCACUGCCUAUAUAUAUAUAUUUAAGUGAGCCAUUUCAUUUAGAAUGUUAGGCCAUUUUUAGUUUUCAUUGUAAACAACUACACAUAUGUGAUUAAUUCUUCUUGAGCAAAAGAGGGGUUUUUUUUUGUACAUGUGUGAGAAAUAUGCCUUAAUUUUACUUUGUUGUUCUAUGGUUUAGAAAUAUGCUCGCAUGUAGUUUGAUUUUCAGGUAGUUAAUCUACUUUUAUCACUUGAUUAUAGAAAAGCAUUAUCAAGGUUGUUGGACAUGGAAAAAUUGCUACCACAUGUGUUCUCUAUUAGUGAAGCUAAUGGGAGAUAUGCUAACAGUACAACGUUACUCUGUGCGAGGAUGCAACCAAGAAACAGCUUCAAGAAUUUGUUUCAGCUCUACACGGUUGUGAAUUAAUGGCCCAAGCCUAUUCUUCACUUGGUGCCAUUUUGGAAAAUGUUGAAUCUAGGCAGCUUCGUCAUUUGCUAAGUUCUGAAUAUUACGGGUUCACAUUCACGAAGCAUUUAUGGAAAAUCUCUCUAUCAAAGUGAAACGAAAUAGAAAAUUUGGAAAAGCUUAGGAAAAUGGAUCUUGAAGCUAGAAGUUAGCAACCAAGUGUAAAGGCAAUGCUCCUUUCUAAGCUAAGAAUAUAUGUGUUGAGCAGAGCUGAGAAGAAGUUAUCUUUCAUUGGAGCUUAUGAAAAUAGCAAGAAAACAUAUGUGGAAACUCAAUUGAGGUUUUGAGUUUGAGUGAGAAGCUUCACUCUGUGACCUGCUGAGAGCCAUAUGCUUCCAAGAAGCCAUUAGUAGAGCAACACCAAGAAGAAAAUUUAAGCAUAUUACCAAGCCAAGUUCGGAAAAUUCAUCUCAAUUAAACAGUUUUGAGCCUAGAGAAGUUGAUCAAUUUCAAUCAGGCCUCUAAAAGUCAAGCAAUAGCUCUUGGAUGAUGAAACACGUGCUCUUCAGUAUAUUAUUGUGAUUGCUCACCAGUGGUGUAUCUUUCUAUGUUUCAUCAUGUCUGUCCUGUAUUGUUCAACCUCAAUCUUUAGUGGUUUCUUAAAAAUUGAAGCUUUUGUUGCUGAUUUGCAGGUAGAGCUGACUAGCCUCCUAGAUGCAGUUCGAGAAAUAGAAACGAAGAUGGUGGAAAUGUCAUCAUUGAAUCAUCUCGUGGCUACACAUGUUUUGCAACAAGCCAAACAAAUAGAACAACUAUACGAUCAGGAAAUAUGUUUGUUCUAUUUUUUUUUUAAUUAUUAUUCCAAUAAUAAAUUUGAUAGCAGACAAAAAUUUAAGGGUCUCUUACUGUUGGUUUGAAUAAGCCUCUAGUCUUCAGGUCACUUCUCAUUUCUAUUUUCUAUGCUAUUUAAUUAUUGUUUAGUAUCUUUAUGCUUUAUAUUCACAUGGAUGCUUGGCAGCAGACAUGGACCAUUUUUCUUCCCUAUACAUUAAUAUUAAUUCUAAGACAUAUUGGUUGAGA